rnacentral:rRNA from 1 species
GUGGGGAAUUUUGGACAAUGGGCGAAAGCCUGAUCCAGCAAUGCCGCGUGCAGGAUGAAGGCCUUCGGGUUGUAAACUGCUUUUGUACGGAACGAAAAGCUUCGGGUUAAUACCCUGGAGUCAUGACGGUACCGUAAGAAUAAGCACCGGCUAACUACGUGCCAGCAGCCGCGGUAAUACGUAGGGUGCAAGCGUUAAUCGGAAUUACUGGGCGUAAAGCGUGCGCAGGCGGUCUUGUAAGACAGAGGUGAAAUCCCCGGGCUCAACCUGGGAACUGCCUUUGUGACUGCAAGGCUGGAGUGCGGCAGAGGGGGAUGGAAUUCCGCGUGUAGCAGUGAAAUGCGUAGAUAUGCGGAGGAACACCGAUGGCGAAGGCAAUCCCCUGGGCCUGCACUGACGCUCAUGCACGAAAGCGUGGGGAGCAAACAGGAUUAGAUACCCGGGUAGUCC